rnacentral:snRNA from 1 species
GCUUGCUUUGGCAAUAAUACACUAAAAUUGAGAAGAUUAGAUUUGCAUGGUCCCUGUGCAAGAAUGACACAAAUUCAUGAAACUUUUGGUAUUUUU